rnacentral:rRNA from 1 species
GGCUCAGAUUGAACGCUGGCGGAAUGCUUUACACAUGCAAGUCGAACGGCAGCACGGGAGCAAUCCUGGUGGCGAGUGGCGAACGGGUGAGUAAUACAUCGGAACGUACCUUAUCGUGGGGGAUAACGCAGCGAAAGCUGUGCUAAUACCGCAUACGCCCCGAGGGGGAAAGCAGGGGAUCGCAAGACCUUGCGUUAUUCGAGCGGCCGACGUCUGAUUAGCUAGUUGGUGGGGUAAAGGCCUACCAAGGCGACGAUCAGUAGCGGGUCUGAGAGGAUGAUCCGCCACACUGGAACUGAGACACGGUCCAGACUCCUACGGGAGGCAGCAGUGGGGAAUUUUGGACAAUGGGGGCAACCCUGAUCCAGCCAUUCCGCGUGAGUGAAGAAGGCCUUCGGGUUGUAAAGCUCUUUCAGCUGGAACGAAACGGUACGCUCUAACAUAGUGUGCUAAUGACGGUACCAGCAGAAGAAGCACCGGCUAACUACGUG